CCCUUAGAGUUUGAUCCUGGCUCAGAGUGAACGCUGGCGGCAGGCCUAACACAUGCAAGUCGAACGGCAGCGGGUCCUUCGGGAUGCCGGCGAGUGGCGGACGGGUGAGGAAUACAUGGGAAUCUACCCUGUCGUGGGGGAUAACGUAGGGAAACUUACGCUAAUACCGCAUACGACCUUUGGGUGAAAGCGGCGGACCGCAAGGCGUCGCGCGACUGGAUGAGCCCAUGUCGGAUUAGCUAGUUGGCGGGGUAAAGGCCCACCAAGGCGACGAUCCGUAGCUGGUCUGAGAGGAUGAUCAGCCACACUGGAACUGAGACACGGUCCAGACUCCUACGGGAGGCAGCAGUGGGGAAUAUUGGACAAUGGGCGCAAGCCUGAUCCAGCCAUGCCGCGUGGGUGAAGAAGGCCUUCGGGUUGUAAAGCCCUUUUGUCCGGAAAGAAAAGCUUCGGGUUAAUACCCCGGGGUUCUGACGGUACCGGAAGAAUAAGCACCGGCUAACUUCGUGCCAGCAGCCGCGGUAAUACGAAGGGUGCAAGCGUUACUCGGAAUUACUGGGCGUAAAGCGUGCGUAGGUGGUUUGUUAAGUCUGAUGUGAAAGCCCUGGGCUCAACCUGGGAAUUGCAUUGGAUACUGGCAGGCUAGAGUGCGGUAGAGGAUGGCGGAAUUCCCGGUGUAGCAGUGAAAUGCGUAGAGAUCGGGAGGAACAUCUGUGGCGAAGGCGGCCAUCUGGACCAGCACUGACACUGAGGCACGAAAGCGUGGGGAGCAAACAGAUUAGAUACCCUGGUAGUCCACGCCCUAAACGAUGCGAACUGGAUGUUGGGAGCACUAGCUCUCAGUAUCGAAGCUAACGCGUAAGUCGCCGCCUGGGGAGUACGUCGCAGACUGAACUC
rnacentral:rRNA from 1 species